GUCGUUUUGGUCUUCGACGAUGACGAUGACCCCUUCCCUCCGAUUUUCUUUCUCCAUCUCUUCCCACUGUUAGUUCUUUCACUCCUCUGCUAGUUUCUGCCACCGUGGGGGUGCUCCCAAAAUCUAAGAGUUUUCCAGUUGCUAUGGACAUCUACUGCAAGUGAACUCAUAAGCAACCUGUAGCAAGCUUUUAGAAGCAUCAUCAUCUGGCAACUUCAAAAGUGUCACUGAAGCAGAUAUUACCUUCAUAGGUUGUCCAGGCCCUUGGAAACAAACCAUGGUAUGUACAUUUUUCGCCUUUCAGAUUCCAAUCCCAUGAUUCAAUUCCUGAGCCUGUGCUUUCUCUGCAUAUUGCAAUUCAUGAGAAAAUAUAACUGUAUUUCUUAAGGAUUUAGAAAUCAGAUCACGAGGAAAUAAUUUAAGCAGAAAAUGUUAAUUACUGUAUAGUCCUUCUGGUUUAACCAUAUUCAUUAAUCGGAACCUCUAUUUAUUCGACUCGGUCA